rnacentral:rRNA from 1 species
AAACUACCUUCGGGUAGCGGAAAGUGGCAAACGGGUGAGUAACACGUGGGAACGUACCUUUUGGUUCGGGACAACAGUUGGAAACGACUGCUAAUACCGGAUGUGCUCUACGGAGGAAAGAUUUAUCGCCAAAAGAUCGGCCCGCGCUAGAUUAGCUAGUUGGUAAGGUAAUGGCUUACCAAGGCUACGAUCUAUAGCAGGUUUGAGAGGAUGAUCUGCCACACUGGGACUGAGAUACGGCCCAGACUCC